AAGGUUACCUGGCAGGGGAGAUACCAUGAUCACGAAGGUGGUUUUCCCAGGGCGAGACUUAUCCAUUGCACUCCGGAUGUGCUGACCCCUGUGAUUUCCCCAAAUGUGGGAAACUCGACUGCAUAAUUUGUGGUAGUGGGGGAUUGUAUUCGUGCUUUCCCCUG
ensembl:snRNA U1 U1 spliceosomal RNA